CACAGGGCCAGCGGGAUCAGCAGCCGUCGCAUGCUUCCUUGUCACCCUGGCCCUGCGAAGCGGAUUCUCACGGGGAGUGGGGGAGCCUUCGGGUGUGGCAGAACGGCAUGAUGGAAUUCAUAAGGUGAGCGGAAACUCAAGGAAAACUGUCCAAAUACCGGCUCGACUCCUGGGUACGCUGGAGCAAGGAUGAAGAAGCUCUGGGACUUUGCACAUUAGUAACCACCAACACCAUGCCUCGGUUCCCACGCUGCAUGGAUCACCUGAAGUAGAGGAUCUCAUGUAACUUCA